GAUCUGGCUCAGGAUGAACGCUGGCGGCGUGCUUAACACAUGCAAGUCGAACGAAGCACUUUAUUACAAUUUCUUCGGAAUGACGAUUUAGUGACUGAGUGGCGGACGGGUGAGUAACGCGUGGGUAACCUGCCUUAUACAGGGGGAUAACAGUUAGAAAUGACUGCUAAUACCGCAUAAGCGCACAGGAUUGCAUGAUCUGGUGUGAAAAACUCCGGUGGUAUAAGAUGGACCCGCG
rnacentral:rRNA from 1 species